AAUGGGCGCAAGCCUGAUCCAGCCAUGCCGCGUGAGUGACGAAGGCCCUAGGGUCGUAAAGCUCUUUCAACUGUGAAGAUAAUGACGGUAGCAGUAGAAGAAACCCCGGCUAACUCCGUGCCAGCAGCCGCGGUAAUACGGAGGGGGUUAGCGUUGUUCGGAAUUACUGGGCGUAAAGCGCACGUAGGCGGACUAUUAAGUCGAGGGUGAAAUCCCGGGGCUCAACCCCGGAACUGCCUUCGAUACUGGUAGUCUUGAGUUCGAGAGAGGUGAGUGGAAUUCCGAGUGUAGAGGUGAAAUUCGUAGAUAUUCGGAGGAACACCAGUGGCGAAGCGGCUCACUGGCUCGAUACUGACGCUGAGGUGCGAAAGUGUGGGGAGCAAACAGGAUU
rnacentral:rRNA from 1 species